UGUGGGAUAUUGCACAAUGGGCGAAAGCCUGAUGCAGCGACGCCGCGUGGGGGAUGAAGGCUUUCGGGUUGUAAACCUCUUUCGCUAUCGAACAAGGCCCGCUUAGGGUGGGUUGAGGGUAGGUGGAGAAGAAGCGCCGGCUAACUACGUGCCAGCAGCCGCGGUAAUACGUAGGGCGCGAGCGUUGUCCGGAAUUAUUGGGCGUAAAGGGCUUGUAGGCGGCUUGUUGCGCCUGCUGUGAAAACGCGGGGCUUAACUUCGCGCGUGCAGUGGGUACGGGCAGGCUUGAGUGUGGCAGGGGUGACUGGAAUUCCAGGUGUAGCGGUGGAAUGCGCAGAUAUCUGGAGGAACACCGAUGGCGAAGGCAGGUCACUGGGCCAUUACUGACGCUGAGGAGCGAAAGCAUGGGUAGCGAACAGG
rnacentral:rRNA from 1 species